AAUUAGCGGGCCGGACGGGGGAGUAACCACGUGAGCAACCCUCCCGUACACAAUGGGGAUAGCCUCGGGGAAACGGGAAUUAAUACCAAACGAAACAUAUUGAUAGCAUAUUCAAAAAUGUCAAAAGAUUUAUCGGGUGUACGAUGGGGCUCGCGUCUGAUUAGCUAGUUGGUGAGAUAAAAGCUCACCAAGGCAAUGAUCAGUAGCCGGCCUGAGAGGGUGAUCGGCCACAUUGGGACUGAGACACGGCCCAAACUCCUACGGGAGGCAGCAGUGGGGAAUAUUGCACAAUGGAGGGAACUCUGAUGCAGCGACGCCGCGUGAGCGAAGAAGGAAUUCGUUUCGUAAAGCUCUGUCCUAUGGGAAGAUAAUGACGGUACCAUAGAAGAAAGCCCCGGCUAACUACGUGCCAGCAGCCGCGGUAAUACGUAGGGGGCGAGCGUUGUCCGGAAUUAUUGGGCGUAAAGGGUUCGUAGGCGGUAAUACAUGUCAGAUGUGAAAUCUUGUGGCUUAACCACAUCAAGCAUCUGAAACUGUAUAACUUGAGUGGAGGAGAGGUAAGUGGAAUUCCUAGUGUAGCGGUGAAAUGCGUAGAUAUUAGGAAGAAUACCAGUAGCGAAGGCGACUUACUGGCCUCUAACUGACGCUGAUGAACGAAAGCGUGGGUAGCAAACAGGAUUAGAUACCCUGGUAGUCCACGCCGUAAACGAUGAGUGCUAGGUGUCGGGAGUCAAAUCUCGGUGCCGUAGU
rnacentral:rRNA from 1 species